rnacentral:rRNA from 1 species
AUUGAACGCUGGCGGCAGGCCUAACACAUGCAAGUCGAACGAGUGGCGGACGGGUGAGUAAUGUCUGGGAAACUGCCCGAUGGAGGGGGAUAACUACUGGAAACGGUAGCUAAUACCGCAUACCAUCGGAUGUGCCCCGAUGGGAUUAGCUAGUAGGUGGGGUAACGGCUCACCUGGGCGACGAUCCCUGGCUGGUCUGCGAGGAUGACCAGCCACACGGGAACUGAGACACGGUCCAGACGCCGACGGGAGGCAGCAGUGGGGAAUAUUGGACAAUGGGCGCAAGCCGGAUGCAGCCAUGCGGCGUGUAUGAAGAAGGCCUUCGGGUUGAAAAGUACUUUCAGCGAGGAGGCGUUACUCGCAGAAGAAGCACCGGCUAACUCCGUGCCAGCAGCCGCGGUAAUUC